UAGAGUUUGAUCCUGGCUCAGGAUGAACGCUAGCUACAGGCUUAACACAUGCAAGUCGAGGGGAAACGGCAUUGAGUGCUUGCACUCUUUGGACGUCGACCGGCGCACGGGUGAGUAACGCGUAUCCAACCUUCCCAUUACUGUGGGAUAACCUGCCGAAAGGCAGACUAAUACCGCAUAGUCUUCGAUGACGGCAUCAGAUUUGAAGUAAAGAUUUAUCGGUAAUGGAUGGGGAUGCGUCUGAUUAGCUUGUUGGCGGGGUAACGGCCCACCAAGGCUACGAUCAGUAGGGGUUCUGAGAGGAAGGUCCCCCACAUUGGAACUGAGACACGGUCCAAACUCCUACGGGAGGCAGCAGUGAGGAAUAUUGGUCAAUGGACGGAAGUCUGAACCAGCCAAGUAGCGUGCAGGAUGACGGCCCUAUGGGUUGUAAACUGCUUUUGUAUGGGGAUAAAGUUAGGGACGUGUCCCUAUUUGCAGGCACCAUACGAAUAAGGACCGGCUAAUUCCGUGCCAGCAGCCGCGGUAAUACGGAAGGUCCAGGCGUUAUCCGGAUUUAUUGGGUUUAAAGGGAGCGUAGGCUGGAGAUUAAGUGUGUUGUGAAAUGUAGACGCUCAACGUCUGAAUUGCAGCGCAUACUGGUUUCCUUGAGUACGCACAACGUUGGCGGAAUUCGUCGUGUAGCGGUGAAAUGCUUAGAUAUGACGAAGAACUCCGAUUGCGAAGGCAGCUGACGGGAGCGCAACUGACGCUUAAGCUCGAAGGUGCGGGUAUCAAACAGGAUUAGAUACCCUGGUAGUCCGCACAG
rnacentral:rRNA from 1 species